AGCCACACAGCAUUUAUGUCAAAUACUGAAUAGCAGAAGCAUCUCCUUCACAAACAACUAUCAGAAUGCUCAGAAAAGCUUGAACAAAGAACAUUCACCCCUGUGGGACACGUUCUCCAGACUCAGCGUCAGUUCCUGAACAAUUCAGACCAGGCCGUGAAAUGAAGGAGGGACAAAAGUAACUCUGAGCCACCUUUGUACUCGCCAUAUUCUCAUGCUACUUAGUGACCUGUCUUCUCCCCUUCUUCCCCAGGUAAAGACACUUUAAAGAAGGUUGACAAGUGGCCAUGUGACAGGAGUCCAACUGGCAGCCUUCUGAACAGUCUCAGUAGAUGAGCCAAGGACUGACUGAGCUAUGGAGACUGGACAGUCUUCUCACCCCAAUGAAGUCCUGUUCAGAUGGCCUAACAGGUAACUGACAGAAGUGUCUGCCCGUUGAUCGGUUCUUGGUCCCACACUCUUCAAUAUCUUCAUCAAUGACCUGGAAGAAAACAACAUUGUCCCUGAUAAACUUUGUAGAUGACACCAAAAUUGGGGGAGUGGUAAAAAAUGAAAAGGACAGAGCGAUCAAGAUAGCUUGGUAAACUGGACUGUGACCCUAAGAGCAUCCCUAUGUCAGAAGGCAACAGGCUCCCUGGUAUCUAACAGUGAGUUUCAGCUGGCCCAGGUGUCAUGUAAUAUAUCACUGGAAAACUAAUGAUUCACUGAUCAGUAGCAUUCUUGUGGGAUGUAUGUACGAUCAACCCACAAAGGAUUAUACAGAUGUGCUCAAAUUAUGUGACUACAAUGUAUUUAAACCAGGCAUGUCAGAGGCAGAUGAUAAACAGGUUUUCUCUAGACAAAGGAAACAGGCCAACAUCUCAAAACAUUGUAAAAAUCACCAGAAUGGGAAAAGACAGCAUGAAGUCUACAGCAGGCACCAUGGUGUCCACACCCAGCAGGAAAAAGGAACUUUAUCUGGGGAUAUGUCUCAGAAGAAUAUCUUUCAAAGGCUUACUUGACUAUAAAGAGAGACGAGGACCAAACCCCUAAGUUAUCCUUCAUUAGAUGAGACAAGGAAAACCAUCGCCUUGGACUCUGUGAGGAUCCUGACUAAAAGCUAGUUAGCCAUUUCUGAAAAGGGAAGAUUGGUGAGGAAACCACCUUGAACAAAAGACUGUAGCUUGUUAAGUUAGGUCUUAGCCGUUAGAAAGCAUAUUUUUACUUCUGUUUGUUUGUAACCCUUUCUAUCUUUAGCCCUUAUAUACUUCAACUCACUUAAAACCAUUCUCUUUUUAAUUAAAUAAACUUGUUUUUACUUUUUAUCU